rnacentral:rRNA from 1 species
UAAGUGGGUUUUAUUGUGGGGAAAACUCCACAGUUAAGCACACUUGAGCUAGAGGAGUCUUGGGAUGGGUGACCUCCUGGGAAAUCCUGGUUACUAGGUGAA